AUUGAACGCUGGCGGCAGGCUUAACACAUGCAAGUCGAGCGGGGGAGGUUGCUUCGGUAACUGACCUAGCGGCGGACGGGUGAGUAAUACUUAGGAAUCUGCCUAUUAAUGCGGGACAACAUCUCGACAGGGAUGCUAAUACAGCAUACGCCCUACGGGGGAAAGCAGGGGAUCACUUGUGACCUUGCGUCAAUAGAUGAGCCUAAGUCGGAUUAGCUAGUUGGUGGGGUAAAGGCCUACCAAGGCGACGAUCUGUAGCGGGUCUGAGAGGAUGAUCCGCCACACUGGGACUGAGACACGGCCCAGACUCCUACGGGAGGCAGCAGUGGGGAAUAUUGGACAAUGGGGGGAACCCUGAUCCAGCCAUGCCGCGUGUGUGAAGGAGGCCUUAUGGUUGUAAAGCACUUUAAGCGAGGAGGAGGCUCUUUUGGUUAAUACCCAAGAUGAGUGGACGUUACUCGCAGAAUAAGCACCGGCUAACUCUGUGCCAGCAGCCGCCGUAAUAC
rnacentral:rRNA from 1 species